GGUUCGGUGGCGUAGUUGGUUAUCGCAUCUGUCUAACAUCUUCAACCACAGAAGGUCCCCAGUUCGAGCCUGGGUCGAAUCA